GAUUUGGUUUCCUCCCUCUAUGAACCCUUCUUGUUAUAAAUUGAUUUUGUCACCCCCUUUCAAAUUCAUAUAUUAAAGUCCUAAUUCCUGGUACCUAAUGCGACCUUAUUUGAAAAUAAGGUCAUUGUAGAUAGAAUUAGUUAAGAUGAGGUAGGAUGGGCCCCUAAAUCAAUAUAACUGGUGUUCUUUGAAAAGUGGGAACACACACAUUCAGGGAGAACACUAUGUGAACCUAAAGGCAUAGAUGGGUAUGCAUCUACAAACCAAGAAACUCCAAAGCUUGCUGGCAGAAGCUAUAAGAAAGGGAUGGAGCAGGUUUUUCCCUCACAGCUCAUGGAAGAAACCAACAGUGCCAACACCUCGAUCCUGGACUUCCAGCCUCCAGAACUGUGAGGUGCCUUGGGAGAGAGUCUUCCUUAAUCCCAACUGGCCCUGGUAUCAUGAUGUCGUCCAGAGGCCACUCUGAAACAGACUCAGAUGAUGUAGCCUUCACUGCAAGAAUUUGUUUGUACCAACUCUAUGCCAUACACUGUGAUAGACACACCAGACGUGGAAGUGAGAAAUAUGAUUCCCAUCUUGGAUAGCAAAGAAGAUGGACAAAUAAACCAACAAAUUAAACACAGAAAAAUGUUUUCUAAAGGAAGGAGGUUUCUUGAAGGAAGUGGUACUUCUGUUGAAAUAUGAAAGAUGAGUGAGGGUUAGUCACAUACAGAAAGGGAGAAGGGAGUAUCCAAUGUAGAUAGAACAGCAUAUGAAAAGCACAGAGAUGUGAGAGAGCAGGUAGGCACUGCUGUAAAUCCAGGUGGAUGUAAAAAAAAAUCAGAGCCUUGCAGGAACUAGGUUGUAGAAAGCUCUGUGGACUAAGUUUAGUUGGUUUAACUUUAUCCUAAAAGUCACAGGAAAAUAUUAAAGAUGUUUAAAAAAGAAAAAAAACAGAUUUUCAUUUUAUUAACAAAACAUAACUCUGGCAGCAGGUGUGGAAAAUGGAUGGAGGGGCCAGGACCAGAAGAAAGACACCUGUUACUGAAGCAAUGCAGAUGGGAAAUGAUGGAUACCUAGAUGUAGACCAUGCCAGCAAAGACGGAGGGGCAGAAUUGAGUAAUACUUGUAGAACUAAUGUAACUUACAGGAUGAUUAGAUACAUAGAAAGGAGACUAAUUCGAUCCUUUAUUUUUCUUCCUUUUUCAAAAGUUUUUUUUAAGACUAUAUUACUAUCUUUUCCCCAUUCCCUCCAUACUUAAUAUGACAGUUAGCUAAUUUUACUUGAAUACCUAUGUCUUAUUCUUUACCACCACCACCAAGCAGCAGCAUCUCCCUACCACCACCACAACAAGCAGCAAGUGUUUACGGAACACCUCUUACUAAAUUAUCCUUUGUCUUGUUUUGUGACAAAUUUACAUUCCUCUCUGCUUUACUUUUGCUUUAUCCUGUAUUUUUCAUUGUUCUGUGGUUUAGCAUGUAUUUUCUUCUGCUCUUCCAGGACCGUAGGAUUUCAGAGCUUGUUACUUAAGUUCUCAGGUUUUUGAUAUGUACUUGGAAUUUUAUUUUUUACUACUUUCUCAAAGUAAUGCUCCACAAAUAUUUCUUAUGUAAUUCCAAUGCAUCUAAAGAGAUUUAGCAUUUGAGUUUUAUGUUAAAUCAAUAAACUGAUUAAAGCCAUAACUAGCAAUCACCAACUUUUAUCUGGAAAUAAACUGAAAACUAUUAUUCAUUUACUAA